rnacentral:rRNA from 1 species
GAUGAACGCUGGCGGCGUGCCUAAUACAUGCAAGUCGAGCGAACAGACGAGGAGCUUGCUCCUCUGACGUUAGCGGCGGACGGGCGAGUAACACGUGGAUAACCUACCUAUAAGACUGGGAUAACUUCGGGAAACCGGAGCUAAUACCGGAUAAUAUAUUGAACCGCAUGGUUCAAUAGUGAAAGACGGUUUUGCUGUCACUUAUAGAUGGAUCCGCGCCGCAUUAGCUAGUUGGUAAGGUAACGGCUUACCAAGGCAACGAUGCGUAGCCGACCUGAGAGGGUGAUCGGCCACACGGGAACUGAGACACGGUCCAGACUCCUACGGGAGGCAGCAGUAGGGAAUCUUCCGCAAUGGGCGAAAGCCUGACGGAGCAACGCCGCGUGAGUGAUGAAGGUCUUCGGAUCGUAAAACUCUGUUAUUAGGGAAGAACAAAUGUGUAAGUAACUAUGCACGUCUUGACGGUACCUAAUCAGAAAGCCACGGCUAACUACGUG